CGCACAUUGCACCCUCUGGUAUUCCGGGGGGUAUAUUUGUUCCAGCGUUAUUACACCUCUCAAGUAUAACUUGGUAUUGAGUUUGUGGUGAAAACUGCAUUCUUCAAAUAUUUACAGCUUAUUAUUAUGAAAAGCGUUUGAAAUAAAUCGUUUGCUCAGAAGUAAUAAACUCGUAACCCCUUCUCAAGGUUAACCUGGAAUCAAAUAGGGAUACCCGCUGAACUUAA
rnacentral:misc_RNA from 1 species